rfam:Citrus clementina cultivar Clemenules unplaced genomic scaffold scaffold_5, whole genome shotgun sequence.
AGAUGAAGGUAGCAUGGUAAUAUGCACUGAUAUUGAAGUUCCAGGUCCAUUUGUCUGCUCCUCUUGAUGCCUUCUUGCUUGAGGGCUCUGAUAUAGGGGCCUGAUUAUGACCUACAUAU